ACGUCCUACGGGACGCAGCAGUGAGGAAUAUUGGUCAAUGGGCGCGAGCCUGAACCAGCCAAGUCGCGUGAGGGAAGACGGUCCUAUGGAUUGUAAACCUCUUUUGUCGGGGAGCAAAAGACGCCACGCGUGGCGUUCCGAGAGUACCCGAAGAAAAAGCAUCGGCUAACUCCGUGCCAGCAGCCGCGGUAAUACGGAGGAUGCGAGCGUUCUCCGGAUUUAUUGGGUUUAAAGGGUGCGGAGGCGGAGGAUCAUGUCGGCGGUAAAAUUGAGA
rnacentral:rRNA from 1 species